UACAGAGGGGGCAAGCGUUGUUCGGAAUUACUGGGCGUAAAGGGCGCGUAGGCGGCCUGCUAAGUCGAACGUGAAAUCCCUGGGCUCAACCCAGGAACUGCGUCCGAUACUGGUUGGCUUGAAUCCGGGAGAGGGAUGUGGAAUUCCAAGUGUAGCGGUGAAAUGCGUAGAUAUCUGGAGGAACACCGGUGGCGAAGGCGACAUCCUGGACCGGUAUUGACGCUGAGGCGCGAAAGCCAGGGGAGCAAACGGG
rnacentral:rRNA from 1 species